rnacentral:sRNA from 1 species
UUUUUCCAUGCUUGCAUGAAAAAAACUGUGCUUAUGAAAUGACAUAACGGACAUGAGGAAAGAAGGAGUGCGAACGAAGUGAGUGCGACGAUUUCCGAAUGUCCGUAGGAUUGCGGGAGCGCGUUAGCGCGGAGCAAUCCGUAU